rnacentral:rRNA from 1 species
UACAGAGGUCCCGAGCGUUGUUCGGAUUCACUGGGCGUAAAGGGUGCGUAGGUGGCGAGGUAAGUCGGAUGUGAAAUCUCCAAGCUUAACUUGGAAAUGGCAUUGGAAACUACCUGGCUAGAGGUUUGGAGGGGGGACUGGAAUGCUUGGUGUAGCAGUGAAAUGCGUAGAUAUGCGGAGGAACACCGAUGGCGAAGGCAAUCCCCUGGACCUGUACUGACGCUGAGGCACGAAAGUGUGGGGAUCAAACAGG